GGUUAGUAAAGGUUAGUACGUCUGACUUUCAAUCGCUAGGUCGCGGGUUCGAUUCCCGCCCG
rnacentral:tRNA from 1 species